rnacentral:lncRNA from 10 species
GAGUAAGGGAGAGAUGGGAUUUGAGCCAAGGUCUGCCUCUAGGUAUAAACCAAUAAGUAUCUGAGGCAAGUCUCAAUCCAUUUAUUAGGUUGGUGCAAAAGUAAUUGCAGUUUUUGCCAUUAUAAGUAAUGGAAAGUUUACUUUGCCAAGGUUAAGGACACACCUGUGACACAGACUCAGGAGUUCCUGAAGACGCGUGCCCAAGAUGGGUGCCCUGGCAAAGGAAGGAGACCAUUCAUAUGGUGAGGAGGGCCUUCAACUUUUAUUUUUGGUUUACAUUCGCAAAGCAUGUGCUCUUUGCUUUAUACUAGGCUGCCUCCCUGCCAUGUUAGAAAGAUCUUCUGAAUUUAUAUGAGGUCAUGGUUUAGGUGGGAUUAGUCAGUUGUAUUUUCUCAUCAAUACAUGUAUUUUUAUUUUUAUUUUUUUUGAGAUGGAGUUUCAGUCUUGUUGCCCAGGCUGGUGUGCCAUGGUGCGAUCUUGGCUCACUGCAGCCUCCGCCUCCUGGGUUCAAACGAUUCUCCUGCCCCAGCCUCCUGAGUAGUUGGGAUUAUAGGCGCCUGCCAUCAUGUCUGGCUAAUUUUGUUUUUAAAUUAUUUUUAGUAGAAACACGGUUUCGCCAUAUUGGCCAGGCUGGUCUUGAACUCCUGACCUCAGGUGAUCUGCCCAUCUUGGCCUCCCAAAGUGCUGGGAUUACAAGUGUGAGCCGCUGUGCCUGGCCAAUACAUGUAUUUUCCAUUCAAUACAUAUGGGGGUUCAUUCUCUCACCCCUUAUCAGAACAGAGGUCAGGGAGGAGGGGAAUGGACCUGCAGGGUGAUGGAUUAGUAUGGGGAUUGCAAACUCCAUUCCCUACAGGGCAGUUAGGGUAAAAGGGGAAGUAAAAUUAGAGCAGGCGCAUACUGUCAACAGGGGCAGGAAUGUAGGAAUGUGGCCCACUGUUUUCAGAUAUCCCAAUUUGUUUAGGGGAGCCCAAAAUCUGGAUUUUAUCUUUCUUUGCAAAAUUGUUAAUUUUUUAUGUUGGGAACUAACUAGAAACUUUUUUUUUUUUUUUUGAGAUGGAGUUUCACUCUUGUCACCCAAGCUGGAGUGCAAUGGUGCGAUCUUGGCUCACUGCAACCUCCGCCUCCCAGGUUCAAGUGAUUCUUGUGCCUCAGCCUCCCAAGUAUCUGAGAUUACAGGCCUGAGCAACCAUGCCCAGCUAAUUUUUGUAUUUUUAGUAGAGACUGGGUUUUGCCAUGUCAGGCAGGCUGGUCUCAAACUCCUGACCUUAGGUGAUCCACCCACCUCGGCCUCUCAAAGUGCUGGGAUUACAGGUGGGAGCCACCAUGCCUGGCCCUAACUAAAAACAUUUUUAAACACUGUGCAGACUAAAUAAAUCUGUGGAGUCCAUAGGGUCCAGUUUUAGACCCCUGGCUGAGCUCUCCAAUGACAGAGUUUGUCUUCAGGGAAGCUUACCCUCAGUGGUGCUGAUUCUAUGGAAAGUCAAUCCUCAAGCUAAGAGGAAAUCCCUCCGGGCUGCAGCUAGGAAAAGGAGCAGGCCUUGGAUGGGGCACUUCUCUUUCCAUCUUCCUUCCCCAGCUAGUCUCACUGGGCCCAUCAGUCAACUUUCCAUGAUGAAUGUUUUGUUGGGUUCUGUUCCAUGGAGUUAAAGGAGCAUGGAGUGUCUCUCAUCACAGCCCCUUUUCUAGGAAAAUAAAUGGCCAACUCCCUGGAGUUGAGGAUUUUUUUAUGCAAUGACUUUCCUCCACGAGAUUUAUUGCAGCAGCUUUGUGAGAGAUUUGUAGUAAGUAGUGUUGAGGCUGUAGGUCUUAAAUCUUCAAUGCCACAGUCAUAACUCUCCAGGAAGGAAAUGAUAGAAGAUCACAGUAGCUAAUAUUGCAUUAUGAUGAUACUGCCUUCCCAGAAAUGAUUGCAGUCUUGCUGCUGCUGUCUUACUUAGGAAACAGGAGCUCUUCAAAUGUGCUUGAGAUGUCUGUCCUGGUGGUGCUUUGCACGAUCCAUGAGAAGCUACAGCCUGUUAGCUAAUAGGACACUGCAGAAACGACAAAGUGUGGCUUCCAAAGCUAGGUCAUAAAAGACAUUGAGGCUUCUGCGUUGCUCUCUUAGAUCAUU